rnacentral:lncRNA from 1 species
UUAUAAAAAAACAGUGUUCAUUUAACCAUUAGUAUUUAAAAGCAUAAUGAAUAUUCUGAGUUUAUGAAUGCGAAACAUAAUCUCAUUUAUAGCAAUGUGCCUAUGGAAAAUCAUGUUCCGAAUUAUAUCGAUUUGAACUGUCACAAAAAUUUUUUCGAACACAACCAUGUCAUUAGUUGGGGAUCUUCUAUACUAUAAUCUUUAAUUGAAGCAGAGUGUUUGUUAGAUUCCAUUUAAUGCAUUUUUUUAUUUUUAGAAAAUACAGUAUAUUCAUUAAUAUAUUUAAAACCCAAAGCACGACGAGCAGUGGCGUAAUAUCCAGGAAAAACUUUUUUGUUUUUGCAGACGUUUUCAGUGCGAUUGUAUCCUCGUCGGGCUUGCAAGUGAAGGGAGUUUUGGAACGUAGUGGAGUCUUGUACAUGGAACAAUUUUUGGAGAUCGAUGAUUGGCAGUUGUCAUGGUUGCAGUCAGGGUGCUAUGAGUACAUUGAAUAAUUUUGCUAACUGCAAUGUAAUUUAUGGAUA